AGAGUUUGAUCCUGGCUCAAGAACGAACGCUGGCGGCAUGCCUAACACAUGCAAGUCGAACGAAGCCUUCGGGCUUAGUGGCGCACGGGUGCGUAACGCGUGGGAAUCUGCCCUUGGGUUCGGAAUAACAGUUAGAAAUGACUGCUAAUACCGAAUGAUGUCUUCGGACCAAAGAUUUAUCGCCCAAGGAUGAGCCCGCGUCGGAUUAGCUAGUUGGUGAGGUAAAAGGCUCACCAAGGCGACGAUCCGUAGCUGGUCUGAGAGGAUGAUCAGCCACACUGGGACUGAGACACGGCCCAGACUCCUACGGGAGGCAGCAGUGGGGAAUAUUGGACAAUGGGCGAAAGCCUGAUCCAGCAAUGCCGCGUGAGUGAUGAAGGCCUUAGGGUUGUAAAGCUCUUUUACCCGGGAUGAUAAUGACAGUACCGGGAGAAUAAGCUCCGGCUAACUCCGUG
rnacentral:rRNA from 1 species